GCCUGGGUGGCUCAGUUGGUUAAGCAUCUGACUUUGGCUCAGGUCAGGUUCCAGGGUCCUGGGAUCAAGUCCCAGAUUAGGCU